UUCUCUCCUCCAGAAAAAUAAUUAGGAUUAUUAUAUUAUUAUUUGUUUUGUUUCCUCGAAUAAAAAAGAGAAUCCGAGAACUUUUUAAGACAAAAGCCAAGUCUUCGAAACCUUAUGAGAUGUGAUAGGGUUACAAGGGUAAAACAGGAACUCAGAAUAAAAAUAAGUUAAUCGAGAAAGCUCCAAAUAAACACCACUCGUCCGCCUCUCUGUCUCUCACCAAAAUAAAAAACUCAAUCUCUCUCUCUCUCUCUCCAUCGAGAAACACUAAACUGCUAUAAUCAUUACCUCUCUUCGAUUUCUCAAACCCUAUCUGGCUCUCUACCCAUAUGCUUCAGAUCCGCAUUAAAAAAGCUAAGUUUUUUGUUAUGUCCUUCUUUCUUAUUUGAUCAGUUUGUUCUUGUUUCACGAUUUUAACCUGAGAUUUUUUAUAUAUUUUCUCCAGAUCUGCUAUCCGCAGUCAUCUGUUCAUAGGAAAAGAUCUGGCUUUACUUUUAGAGAUUAUCUCAGAUCCAGCCUUUUACCCAAUUGAAGGCAAGUUCACAUACUCUGUUUUUUUUGUCUUGGUUUUAAUUUCUCGGUUUUUUACAUGUAACAGAUGUUUUAAGCAUGAUUUUUUGUUUAAACAGUUUGUUUUUCCUACCCUUAAAACUUCUCUGAAUUAAUAUCCCAUUUAUAUGACCACUCUAAUGUCUUCUUAUACGACUACGCAAGUGUUGCAUAUUCUUGACCUUUUCACACUUCAUUUGCAUUUUAGUCUAACAAUAUAAAUCCGCAAAUAUCUUGUGUUUAUACUUAUUGAAAUUAGUCUUCCGACAUAUAUAAUCUAGGAUCUAUUUGGAUUAUUUGGGCCAUCAGUCUCAUUCGUUUCAUUAACAUCUGAGUCUUUGAACUUUGUUUAUCUUUCCUAGCUUGAUAUUUUAAUAUUAGUUUUUUUGCGCCUCUUUGUUUUUGAUCAUUUAUUCUCUCAAUUGGAUAGUAUAGUGAAGUAAAUAAUGUAGCUAUGACUUUACCUGUAGCAUUUACCUGUAGCAUCUUAAAAAUAUGAAUUAAAAAUGAUUUAGCUAAUUUGGGCUUAUGUUUAUAAGCAUAGAAGUUUAUACUACAAGUUCGUUUAGAUUUUUCCAGUAUCAACUCAAACAUAGUUUUUACUCAAGCAUAGUUUUUACUCAAGCAUAGUUUUUACUCACACUAAAACCCACAUGUAGUGUGCAAAAGUAAGUACCCCCCCACCUCUGUUCCUCACGGUUUUUCUGCAAAGGACCCACCCUCCUUGAACUUCAGCGUCCAUCACAAUGUCCCCAUCAUCAUCAAACCUGUACAAGCCAGUGGCGAUCCUAACAUUGUAGAAGUUGAUAGCAUUUUUGCAAGUGGAGGGAGCACUUGUGUUUCUCCACGUAUUGCUGUCUUGAUUAAAGCGGUUGUCAACUCUGUAAAGUCCCUCUACUUCAAUAGGUAUGGUAAAUGAGUUUGAUUCUGGGAAUAGGUUGUGGUUGUUAUAAAGAAUGCUCCACUCAGCAGCGUUGAGCCAGCGCUGUGUUGAUGUUUGAAGCACAGCUGCUACAUCUGUCAAAAAUAGCAACCAAACAUAUGAGAUUUAUAUAUAUAUUAUAAGCAACUGUUUUAUUCUGAAAUUUUUAAAUCUUGCCUUAAUUGUACAAAUUCCAUAGAUCUAGGAGACUAUUCUAAGAUUCCAUAGAUCUGUAACACUGUGCUACGAUUUCUACACUGUUCUAAGAUUCCAUAGAUCUGUAACACUGUACUACGAUUUCUACACUGUUCUAAGAUUCCAUAGAUCAUAACUUUUCUAAGAUUUCUACACUGUUACCAAUUCCAUAGAUUGUAGCCUCGAUUUCCCAAAUUCACAGAUCUACUCUAAUUUUAAAUACAUUCCUCCAAUUCCCAAACUCACCAAUGUUUCUUGAUACUUUCAAUUUCAAUUUCUUUAUUACCCCAAAUUCGCUACCCCUAUAUCUUGCUUCUGAGAAUAUAAUCGUUUUUUAUUACCUUCAUUUCCUUCAGGUAGGUCCAUAUGCUGAAGAUUUAUCGCAGGAGCGACCACUACGGGAGCCGCCAUUGGAGAUUCUCUGUGAGAGAGAGAGAGAGAAAUAGUUUGAGAAUCAAUCUUCUGUAUUUUAUUGUGUAGAUCAAGUUAUUUAGUAUAUGCUAGUACUUAUGGUUAAAAUAGACUAUUAUUAAAAUUCAAAAGUAAUAAAGCCAACGAGUACACUAAACUCAGAUUAUAUUUUCCAAAACUAUUGCUAAAGAAUAUCAAUACGUACACUAGAUAUAGAAAUCGGAAUUAGGUACGUUGUGAUCCAUUUCAGCUACUGUUAGGGGUAAGAUUUGGGCUUGCUUGGCCCAAGGCCCAAAUCCAAGUCAAAGGCCUAAGCAGAAUGUUAAGUCAAGAGGGUAGGCUCGUCAAAAUCCUGGAGGAGUGUCCUACACGCAGAAGGCUAUAAAUACGGAAUAGCAUGUCUUGUCAAAGGGGGAUUCCGCCGGACACGCAGAGACACAGAGCAGCUCGUCAGCUCACCCGUCCGAAGUAUCCCGCCAGCCGGUCCGUCUCAAGCAGCUCGUCAGCUCACCCGUC